rnacentral:rRNA from 1 species
ACUCCUACGGGAGGCUGCAGUGGGGAAUUUUCCGCAAUGGGCGCAAGCCUGACGGAGCAAGACCGCGUGAGGGAGGAAGGCUCUUGGGUUGUAAACCUCUUUUAUCAGGGAAGAAGAUCUGACGGUACCUGAUGAAUCAGCAUCGGCUAACUCCGUGCCAGCAGCCGCGGUAAUACGGAGGAUGCAAGCGUUAUCCGGAUUUAUUGGGCGUAAAGCGUCCGCAGGUGGUUUUUCAAGUCUGCUGUUAAAGCGCAGAGCUUAACUCUGUAACGGCGGUGGAAACUGAGAGACUAGAGUAUGGUAGGGGUUGCGGGAAUUCCCAGUGUAGCGGUGAAAUGCGUAGAUAUUGGGAAGAACACCAGCGGCGAAAGCGCGCAACUGGGCCAUUACUGACACUCAUGGACGAAAGCUAGGGGAGCGAAAGGGAUUAGAUACCCCUGUAGU